GUUUGAUUAUAGCUCAGAUUGAACGCUGGCGGGAUGCUUUACAUGCAAAGUCGAACAGCAGCACGAGGACUUCGUUGCUUUACGGUGACGGAACACGGUAAUGUAACCGGACGUUGCCUAGUAGGGGUAACUACGCAGCAGCAUGAUUAAUUGCAUACGCUACCUCGAGGGUGAUGGGGACCUUCGGGCCUCGCACUAUUAGAGCAGCCGAUAUGGAUUUAAGCUAGUUGGUGGAGUAACGGCUCAUGACGACGAUCCGUAGCUGGUUUGAGGACGACCAGCCACGCAGGACUGAGACACGGCCCAGACUCCUACAGGAGGCAGCAGUGGGGAAUUUUGGAUGAUAGGAAACCUGAUCCAGCCAUCGCGUGUGCGAUGAAGGCCUUCGGGUUGUAAAGCACUUUUGGUAGGAAAGAAACGGCACGGGAUAAUACACAGUGCAGCUGACCAUUACCUGCAGAAUAAGCACCGGCUAACUACGUGCCAGCAGCCGCGGUAUUAAGCCGGGGUGCAAGCGUUAAUCGGAAUUACUGGGCGUAAAGCGUGCGCAGGCGGUUCGGAAAGAAAGAUGUGAAAUCCCAGAGCUUAACUUUGGAACUGCAUUUUAUACCGAGCUAGAGUGUGUCAGGGGAGAACGGAAUUCCGCGUGUAGCAGUGAAAUGCGUAGAUGUGGAAGGAACACCGAUGGCGAAGGCAGCCUCCUGGGAUAACACUGACGCUCGUAAAAGCAGUAGAGCAAACAGGGUUGGGCCCUGGUAGUCCACGCCUAAACGAUGUCAACUAGCUGUUGGGGCCUUCGGGCAUGGUAGCGCAACUAACGCGUAAGUUGACCGCAUAAGGAGUACAGUCGCAAAGAUUAAAACUCAAAGGAAUUGACGAGGACCCGCACAAGCGGUGGAUGAUGUGGAUUAAUUCGAUGCAACGCGAAAAACCUUACCUACCCCCAUGUGUGGAAUCCGAAGAGAUUUGGGAGUGCUCGCAAGAGAACCGGAACACAGGUGCUGCAUGGCUGUCGUCAGCUCGUGUCGUGAGAUGUUAGGUUAAGUCCCGCAACGAGCGCAACCCUUGUCAUUAGUUGCUACGAAAGGGCACUCUAAUGAGACUGCCGGUGACAAACCGGAGGAAGGUGGGGAUGACGUCAAGUCCUCAUGGCCCAUAUGGGUAGGGCUUCACACGUCAUACAAUGGUCAGGACAGAGGGUCGCCAACCCGCGAGGAGCCAAUCCAAAACCCGAUCGUAGUCCGGAUGCGAUCUAGCUCGACUGCGUCGAAGUCGGAAUCAUCUGGCUGAUGGAUCAGCAUGUCGCGGUGGGCCGUUCCCGGGUCUUUUACCGCCCGUCACACCAUGGGAGUGGGUUUUACCAGAAGUAGUUAGCCUAACCGUAAGGAGGGCGAUUACCACGGUAAGGAUUCAUGACUGGGGUGAAGUCGUAACAAGGUAA
rnacentral:rRNA from 1 species